AUUGAACGCUGGCGGAAUGCUUUACACAUGCAAGUCGAACGGCAGCACGGAGAGCUUGCUCUCUGGUGGCGAGUGGCGAACGGGCGAGUAAUAUAUCGGAACGUGUCCAAUAAUGGGGGAUAACGAGUCGAAAGAUUCGCUAAUACCGCAUACGCCCUACGGGGGAAAGCAGGGGAUCGUAAGACCUUGCGUUAAUGGAGCGGCCGAUAUCUGAUUAGCUGGUUGGUGAGGUAAAGGCUCACCAAGGCGACGAUCAGUAGCUGGUUUGAGAGAACGACCAGCCACACUGGAACUGAGACACGGUCCAGACUCCUACGGGAGGCAGCAGUGGGGAAUUUUGGACAAUGGGGACAACCCUGAUCCAGCCAUUCCGCGUGAGUGAAGAAGGCCUUCGGGUUGUAAAGCUCUUUCGCAAGGGAAGAAAACUUAUGAUCGAAUAAAUCAUGAGGUUGACGGUACCUUGAUAAGAAGCACCGGCUAACUACGUGCCAGCAGCCGCGGUAA
rnacentral:rRNA from 1 species